UUUUUAGAAUAAAUAUGCCCCACGCAGUAUUUGGGACAUACUUAUGCUAAAA
rnacentral:pre_miRNA from 1 species